rnacentral:misc_RNA from 1 species
CAGAACGAGUCGGAACUCCACAAACAGAAGAUGAACAAGUUCCUAUUUACAUUCGUCGUUAUCGGAAUUAUUCUGUUAGAAAGUAGCGAAGGUCGAUACGUGAAAAUCGAAGGACGUGAUCGAUUCAAUUUAAAACGAAGAAAUUCCGAAGGAAGUCUUGCAAAUGUACAAAAUAAAGAUGUUGAUACAAAUGCUAAAGCACUUGGUAGUCAGGAUAUUUCGCCACAUAGUAUAACUGGUAUUGGGCUUGUUAGUGCAGUUAUUAGCCCUCUCGAUCCUGAUACUGUUAAAGUUUUAAGUGCUGUUCUUGACGAUAUUGACAAAGGCCUAAAUAAUUUAUUUGGUGUAGUUGAUAAUCUUGAUGAUCUCGUCAAGAUUUACAAGACGAUCUUCGUGAUAUCAAGGAAAUAGUCUUAAGAAAAGAAAAUAUAAGAAAAGGAUUGAAGCACUGAGAAGAUUUUAUAAUUAGAACGAAAGAAGUUAACCUAUAAUUGGUGCACCUCAAAGUCAAACUUCGGGUUUCACUUCUAUAAUAUAUUAUAUUAUAUUAUAUGUUAUAUGUUGAAUGCUUUUUAAAAAUUGUAACUGUGAUAUUAAAUUAUUAAUAAAGA